CUCCUUGGAUUGCAAUUCUUUCCCGAACCUUGCAUGAAUGCGAUUACACCUUUUGAAUUCCGAACAAGAAUCUAUGGUGUAAAUGCAUGAAUUAUGAUAAUGCUUCAUGAGGGUGUAACUACCACAAGUUAAUGCAUGAGGAUAUAACCAAAUAUACCACGAAACACAAGACAAAUAGAAAAGAAAAGAAAAUGGCAGCAAAACUGGAAAUACCUACAAAUUCUUCAAAAGAAUGAAGAGUUGGGGAAGAAAGAAGAAGGCAAGAAAUAGAGAUAGAAAGGUCAUAUUAACAGUAGCUCAAUACUCCUAGAAAAUAUCAACUAAUUAAAGUAUAACAAAGAGAAAUAGAAGUUGAUGGAGUAAGAAUUUUGGACAUACCUUUCUUUGGAAGUGAAAGUACAAAUGAUUGCAAUUGUCACACAAGCUCGCGAGCUGGCUCUGUUCUACUCCACCGGCUUCUCUGUUUUGCUGACACUUUAUUUUCAUGUGGUUUUCUAUUUAUAGAGAUAUAUAUAGAGGGAGAGGGAAAGUGGCACCAUAUAGAGGAUAUAUAUGGA
rnacentral:lncRNA from 1 species